GCGGCAACAGCUCAAAUUUAGAAAUCUGGUCCCCCCGCGGGGCCCGAGUUGUAAUUUGAAGAGGAUGCUUCUGGCAAGGUGCCGUCCGAGUUCCCUGGAACGGGACGCCGCACAGGGUGAGAGCCCCGUACGGUCGGACGCCGAGCCUCUGUGAAGCUCCUUCGACGAGUCGAGUAGUUUGGGAAUGCUGCUCAAAAUGGGAGGUAAACCCCUUCUAAAGCUAAAUACCGGCCAGAGACCGAUAGCGCACAAGUAGAGUGAUCGAAAGAUGAAAAGCACUUUGAAAAGAGAGUUAAAAAGCACGUGAAAUUGUUGAAAGGGAAGCGCUUGCGACCAGACUCGCGCCCGUCGGAUCAGCCGUCGCUCGUCGGCGGCGCACUCCGGCGGGCUCGGGCCAGCAUCAGUUCGCCUCGGGGGGAGAAAGGCGGCGGGAAUGUGGCUCUACGGAGUGUUAUAGCCCGCCGCGUAAUACCCCCGGGCGGACUGAGGACCGCGCGUAUGCAAGGAUGCUGGCGUAAUGGUCGUCAGCGACCCGU
rnacentral:rRNA from 2 species